rnacentral:rRNA from 1 species
CCUACGGGUGGCUGCAGCGGGGAAUAUUGCACAAUGGGCGCAAGCCUGAUGCAGCCAUGCCGCGUGUGUGAAGAAGGCCUUCGGGUUGUAAAGCACUUUCAGCGGGGAGGAAGGCGUUAAGGUUAAUAACCUUGUCGAUUGACGUUACCCGCAGAAGAAGCACCGGCUAACUCCGUGCCAGCAGCCGCGGUAAUACGGAGGGUGCAAGCGUUAAUCGGAAUUACUGGGCGUAAAGCGCACGCAGGCGGUCUGUCAAGUCGGAUGUGAAAUCCCCGGGCUCAACCUGGGAACUGCAUUCGAAACUGGCAGGCUAGAGUCUUGUAGAGGGGGGUAGAAUUCGAGGUGUAGCGGCGAAAUGCGUAGAGAUCUGGAGGAAUACCGGUGGCGAAGGCGGCCCCCUGGACAAAGACUGACGCUCAGGUGCGAAAGCGUGGGGAGCAAACAGGAUUAGAUACCCGUGUAGUC